UAAGGCGUAGUUGUGCAAUAUAAACAUUUGAUUCGCGUCAAUAAAUUCCCAGAAAAACUACGUCGUUCAGGGGCCUGAGACUGCGUGGUUGUCGGGCAGAUUUGACGUAGGUUUUAAGUAAACAGAUAACUAAAUUUUAUAUUUAAAAGGGCUGCUGUAAGCACUUCGAGUAGUAAGCUCAGUAUUCGUAACCAAAGUGGUUUUCCAUAAUAUUUUGAAUAAUAUUCGGCGUUUGUUGAUUUUAAAAUGAAGUACGCGUUUUGUGUUCUCAUGAUUGUGGUCCUUGUUGAAGGACGGUAUUUUCAUCCAAGCAUCUCUUCUGAAACUAAAUCUGAGGACAUGGACAUCUACCGCAAUAUCAAACCAAAUCGCUUCGUUCCUAUCAACAACGUGAUGUCUUUUAAGAUAUAUGAUCCGUGUAUGAACGGCCUCAAACGAGAUGUAGUGGGCAUAUGUCGGGAGGUAUGGGAUUAAACAAGCCACAGAUAUUAUAUAGAAGAACAAAAACUACUGGAAAACUCAGUUGUCAAUGGCAUACGUCAUACAAAAAAGUUACAAUCAAAAAAGCCAAAUUUCAAUGUGGCAGGCAAA